rnacentral:ncRNA from 1 species
ACUUUGGAGAGCCAUACAAAUCGUAGUAGCUUAUUAGGCAAGGCGAGGCUUUAUGAAGAAGGAA